UUUUAUUUUGUUCUCAGAGAGAAGGUGAAAUCUAUAGCCACCAUGACGUUUGGCCUGAGGAUCACGCUCCUGCUGCUUCUGGCUACUGGAACAGUGACAGUAAAAGGACUCAGUACCACUGUUCCCACUAGAGGAGAUGGCUUGGUGCCCAGUGCAGGAACUAUUCCUAAUCAAGG